rnacentral:pre_miRNA from 1 species
AAUUGGAUAACUGGGUCAAUUAGUUGUUCAAUUCCAAAUUUUUAAGGAAUCUCCAUACUGCUUUCGAGAAUGGUUGUACCAAUUUGCAGUCCCACCAGCAAU